UGCUGGCCAUCUCCUCCCAAAGCUCGAGAAUUAAUGUUUGGACGAGUGGUGGCCUCUGUUUCCUCUUGGCUGAGAAAGAUUGCAACUAAGCUCGAGAAUUGAUCUCGGCGAAUCUCACGAGCUUGAUCUUGCAACACCUGAAACUCUCAGUCCAUAAACUAGCUCCCGACUGGUGCUUCGAUGUAUAGCUUCACGCGAACCCGACGAAGAUGGUCCGAGAUGAAAAAGGAAGAGUUGUGGCCAGUCAACGGCGAUCUCGUCAUGCCUCCGUCUCGGUCCGCCGGUGAAGCUUCUGGGACUGCUCGAGCUUCUUUCCAGUCCGUGAAACAGGAUCUACCCAGCGUGUUGCGAUGAACAGCCAAGAACACGAGGACAGAGAGAAACGCGAAGACGCCAAAGCCAUCGACCUCGCUGUCUCGUCAAAGCUUAAGAAUUGAUCUCUGGAAGCCUCGCCAUCUCAACGAAGCUGAAGACUUGAUCUCUAGAAAGCUCAAAACUUUAUCUCGUCACAAGCUCGACUCUUUUCCCUUCCAUUCGUCGAAACAGAUCAGUAGCAACAAAGAGGGGCCUUGAACCAAGCACUUACUCUGCCUCAAGGAACAAUGGGGACUGAUCAGACUCCCGUUGGGCGUUAUCAGCGUCUGCAUGGCGUAUUUCUUUGCUAAGGCUUUGCUGUGCAAGACGAUACCUUUGGAUGUCGUGGAAGGAAAGACUGGAAGCUAGCAGUGGCUUACCACGGACAGCGUAAUGGGAAGAGGUGAUACCGGUGGUUCUUGCAAUGGGACCGUGGUAUUGUGAAGCGUGCUUAUGUGGAAUGUCAUCACAAGCUUGCCGUCUCGGCACGUGCUUCUUGUCUAGAAGAAACAGCACCUGAAACAUAACCUUAUCUCUAGGUCACCUCUCCAUGAAGCCACGACUUGUUACUCCCAGCAACUCAGCAAUCAUCUCAGAGUUCGAUCUCCGUCGCCGUUAUACAAGAGUUCUCGAGCUUCUCGUCACAAAAAUCAAUAUUUGUGAUCUCAGUACAAAGGCUUUGUCGUCAGGAGCUUGUACGACACUUUAUACUCUGUUCGUCUAUGCUUUGAACUCGCAAGUCUUGAGCAUGACGUGAUUCCAACAAGGCUAGUCCACUCAUCUCCAACGUCACGAUGCUACCUUCUUCAAAGUUGCCGACGCAUUAAAAAAAAAGAUAAGUUUUUGAACCUUAUAAUAUGACCUACGAGUAUUAGAAGUUGCGUUGCUAAAUAAUCACUGGAUCAUCAUCCUCUUAUUAUGAGCUCCGCCUUGUCUCGUAACGUGUUUAGAAAGUUAAUUGUCUAGCUUUUUCUUCUCGUGAAUAAGCAUGUUACACAUUGAUAUACAUACGUAUAUCACGCUUGACCAUAUUAUUUUAAUGGUAACAGGAAAUCUGUUCACGGCAACUUUAGUGUAAGCUCUACAACUUGGCCUAAGCGUUGAGCACGAUGGUUUCUUCAUCAUGAUUAACUCGGCAUCUCAUUCUUAGACGAUUCGUUCUCAGCGGCCUAUGCAUCCCGUCGUCGGCAGCCUAGUCUUGAUCUUGGGAAACAUCUUCCAUGACCGACCACACCAGUCACGGCAUGCAACACGUAGGUCAACAAGACAACUCAACCCACCGAUGUCAUCAUUUCGUCCACACAUGGAUCGCAUCAAUACUGCGAAGACAUGUCUACCUAUGGCAAUUUGAUUGUGACGGUUCGUUAUGGCGGUACGUUCAUGAUGAUGUCUAUGGCGAUUUGUCCUUGGCAGCUAGUUGAUUGACGCUUCAUCCAUGACAACUUGCUCCGGUGGUUCAGAACACUGUCCUCACAGAUCGUUCGCGCAACCAAAGUCUGAUCGGAAUCAGAAGUAUAUCGAUGACAGCUCGCCCGGGACGGUCCGUCCAUGACACUUCAUUUAUGGCAACCUAACAAUGACAGUCCGUUCAUGACAAUCGUCUACGACAUGGGCACCAGCUUGACGAUGGGUACUUUUCAGAAAAGACAACCACAGCUAUCCUUGAAGUCCUAAUCGCUUGUUUAAGCUCUGGAUCGAGCGAGUGGCUUCUCUCGAUAUCAUUGUCUUUGAAAGCUAUGAUCAGUUUCCAGUCAAGCUCCUUUAGAAAGUGGCUGAGGAAAGUAACGCGGACGUCUUCCCCACUGAAGCUCGGGAAAACAUCGUAUACCCAAUUGCGAGGACGUGAGAAAGAAGAAGGAGAAGCCAUCCAAUAAAAAUAACUGUUCGACUUAAAGACGAUUUGAAGAAAACAGAACGAUUUGAAGAAAAAAGGUUUGUAAUUGAGUGGAUAAACUUUUAGAAAGUCAACUCAUUUAGUUGUUGUUGUGUUGAA